GUUACUACAUCAUCUACUACAACACUAGGCAGAAUCUCUCAUGCAUCCUCAGCUGUCACCUGUUGGAUAUCUUAUAUUUAAUGCAACAUAACAGUGACCAAUUGUUAUGCCAACAUUAAAUAUAACAUUAAACGAUCUAGGUUAUAUUUACCCUACAAAGUGAAUCUCUAUGUUUAGUACAUCACUAAUUUUAUAUCAAUGAUGACCCUGUUCAUAUUGAGAUUAACUCAACUUGGGAAACUCAAUCUAAAACCAAGUGUUGUCUUAAUUCGAUCCACUAAGUCAUACUUUUUUUAAGCUCUUUCUUAGUUAAUAUCCUUAAAUGAGUGAUCAGCCGAAAUAGAUCAUUAAAAUAAAUAUAAUUAAGACAAAAUGUUAUAACAAACACAGAGAAACACAUGUAUGACAGUCAAACAUCCAUUAAGAUCGUUUAUCACUCAACUACAAUCAAAUUCAGUUCGUGAUUUACGAUAGAAAAAUAAAUAAAAGAGUUUCAGCCAUCAAAUACAUCCCAAUGAAUAAAUAGAAAACAAAAAAAAAAAAUAAGAAGAACUUAUUUCGGAUUAAUCUCUGCGAUUUCUCCUCUAGUACAGUCUUCAAUCUAUCUCUUAAUUUUUGUUUUUCUUGUUGUUUAUUUGCAGUAUAUCCUUUGGGUGACGGCUCUCCCUUUUCUUUUGCAAGCAUGCUCCUUUUAUAACUAAAAAUUAGGGCAACCGAGAGUAUGUGGUGCAUAUCCUUCAUUUUUGAAAACUUUAUAUCACAAUUUUUUAAUUAUCUCGUGCGAAAUAUUCUCUGUCAUUACUCCAGGAUUGCUACAAUAAUGGCUUCAGUAUCUUCACUGUUUUUUACUUAUUUCAAUUCUUAUGUAGUCAAGUUUUUUCAUUAUCUUUGCAGGUCCGUUGCAACAACAUUCAUUCCUUAAAUUUUGAGCUUUCGGUCACCUACAAUUAAACAUAUAAUCUAAAUAUAAAUUAUUCUAAAAAAACAACUCAAUUUAUUAGAAUUAGACUAAAAUGGACGUUCAUGCAAAAUAUAAAUAAAAUACAAUAAAAAUUACAUCAUUUACUCUCUAAGUAUUACCGAUUCAAGUUUAAAAGUGUCAUGAUAACUCUAUGAAGUUUAAAUUAAGCAUAUAAUCUAGGUACAAAUUAUUCUAAAAAACAACUCAAUUUAUUAAAAUUAGACUAAAAUAGACGUUCAUGCAAAAUAUAAAUAAAAUGCAAUAAAAAGCACAUUAUUUACGCUCUAAGUAUUACCGAUUCAAGUUCCCAUCUCAUCCAUAUAAUCAUCAUCAUCAUUAUCAUCAUAAUAUUCAUGCGGGCUGGAUUUUUCCAGUGACAUCAAUAGUAGUGCUAAUUCAUUUUUUAAGAUUUUUUUAAUUUUUAUUUUAACAUUGAUACUUUAAAUGAGACAGAGAUGGAUUUGUGAGAAUUAAAAAUGAAAGGUAGAAGAGAUUGAGAAUUAUUGAAUUAGAUUUAGAAAUUCAAUCCAAAUGGAUUCUAGGGUCAACCCAAACCGAACUGAAAACUGAAAUAAAUUUUUGGUUCGGUUCGGGUUGACUAAAAAAGGACACCCACCCCUACUUGUGGCUUAAUUCAUUUGCCUUUUUUUUUUUUUUUAUAUAUAUUAGAAGGCAUUUUAAUUGUUAUCUUAAAGAAAUUAAAAGAAAGAGACUGAGUAAAGAAAGACCAAAAUUUUCUUCCAAAAAGAAAAUAAGAAAAGAGCCAAAAAAAGAGAGAAAAAACUUACUUACCUAAUUGUGAGACUUUUAUAGGCAGCCAAGAUCACUGCCUCAAUAUUGAUGCCUGGACGCACUACAAGAUCGUUGAUGAACUGGCUUCGUGCCCAGAUAUCUUGAAAAAAAUCACGGGUUGGCCUUAACCUAACCCCAUAGUUGACUUAGUGCAGAUUCCCUUUUCACAUCAACCAACCGACCACGCAUGCUCAAUUCCCACGAGCUGAUCUCCCACACCUUAACUAAUGAGAGCAGGAUUCGCACUAGGCAACCUUUGGUUGUGCUCACAUUUCACACCUCAAACAUAUAUUACUUCAGUUUUUUUUUUUAAUAAACCUUAGAACCUGACCUUUUUUCUCUCUCUCUCAAGCCACAUUCUAGAGUAUUCUCCAAAUAUCUUUGUUUUCUUCGCCGAUUUGGCAAUCUUUCUCUUUUUCUUUUUUCUUUCAUUUUGCUUUGCUUGUUUCUUUAGCCUUAAUGGCGUUUUGUCCUUUCAUUUUUAAAUGUAUUAUCUCCACCCAUAGAGUUUUAGUAAUUUUACUCAUCCUCGAUUUUAAUUUGUGGAGGCUUUGGUGGAUGUUGUGGGUAUUUAGUUUUUCGGCUACAAAUUUUUUCAAUUUUGAAGCUUUUUCAUUUCAAAUUUAGAAAUUUCUAGCACGUAGAAAGUUAAUUAAUACAUCUAAAGAAGAUAUGGGGUGUUAAAAGGUUUUAAUAGUGUUACUUUCAUUAAAGUUAAAACUGUGAACUUCAUAAAGAAGGUCGGUGCUUUUGGGGGAUGUGAGAAACUUCACUCAAUUUUAAGAUCGAUGAUUAAUUACCACAAAGAUCGAUGGUUGUAGUCAAGUUGAAAUGCUAUUGGGCUUAUACAAAAUAUUUAUUUGGCCAUUUGAGCUUUACUUAAUUGAGCCUAAUUAUGGUCUUUUUUAUUAAGGGUGCCUCUAAGUUACGUUAAGCGUAACUUACAUUUUUUGUCUUUUUUCUUCUGGCGAAUUUCACACGAGUCCUUGUAUUCUUUAUGUUUAUGGAUGUAUUUGCCUUCUUUUAUCAAUUAUACAUCUAUUUUUCAUUCUUUCCAAUGUUCUUUUUAUUUUUUUAAAUAAUAACAAACAAUUAUCAAAUGGCCAAACCUAGGUUACGUGUAACGUAACAUACAUUCAAGAAGUGAAAUAUCUAUUGGCACCCUUGAAUUUUAUGGAAACUACAUUAAUUGAAUUAAAAUGGUAAAUUAAAAUAUCAAAUGGUAUCUAUUAAUCAGAAUUAAUCAGAGUAUAUGUUGAUAAUGCCCUUUAAUCAGAAUUAAUUCUUAGAAAUGAUUUUAACGGUAAUUCUGAAAGCUAUUGCAUGUUAAUUUUGAAGUCUGUCAUGUAUAUUUUUUAUAUAAUUUCUCUUUAAUUUAAUUAUAUAAUUAAAUUACAUGCAAUAAACCUACAAUUCAAGACUAGGAUUAAUAAAUUUAGGACCAGAAGUUUAUUCUGAAUUUAUAGAUUUGUAUGAAUUUGAUAAUCAUUUAAUAAUGUUUAAAGAAAUAAAUAAAACUUUAGAGAAAAUAAAAAAAUCGAUAGGAGGGAUGGAAGAAGACAAAUACAUCCACAGCUGUAAAAAUUGAAAAUAAAAAGAAUUAGGAGGGCUCAUAUGAUAUUUGCCAAAAAGAAAAAGACAAAGAACGUAAGGUACAUUGAUUGUAACUUAGGCGUUCCCUUUUAUUAAUACAUCCAAAGAAGAUAUGGGGUGUUAAAAGUUCUUUAUAGUGUAACUUUCAUUAAAGUUAAAAUUGUGAACUUCAUAAAGUAGGUUAGUGCUUUUGAGGGAUGUGAGAAGCUUCACUCGAUUUUAAGGUCGAUGAUUAAUUACCACAAAGAUUGAUGGUUGUAGUCAAGUUGAAAUGUUAUUGGGCUUUUAUAAAAUAUGUUUUUGGCCAUUUACGCUUACUUACUUGGGUCUAAUUAUGGUCAUGUUUGAUAUAAAAGCACUGUAACUUAAAAAUUACUGUUGCUGUAGAAAAAAAUUAUAAUUAUGAAAUAAAAAUUAAUAAUUUGUAGUAAAUAUAAAUUUUAAAUAAUAAUUUUGAUAAAAUUAUUAAAGAUAUAAUAGAUUUUUUAUGAUAUAAAUGAAAAAUCAUAUCAACAUAACUUCAAAGUUAUAGCAAUUAGUGUUUAACAAAUACUUUAGUACUGUAAUUUUUAAGUUACAGCUGUCCAAACUCAAUCACAAACGCAUCCUAUAUAUAACGGGUAAUGCUAAGUUACAUGCAUGUACCUUACAUCCCUCUCACAUGAAUAGUGUAUGGAUACUAUUCAUGUGAGAGGGUUGUAAGAUACAUGCAUGUAACUUAGAGGGAUCCAUAUAUAACUAGUAAAUUGCAGUGAUAUUUAACUUUCACAACUUAUUUCUUUAUACCUCUUUUUUUUUCACUUGAAAUGUCUAAAAUACCCAUUAAAACAACUUAGAUUUUCAAAUUUAUCAUUUCUUUUAUCUCUCGUCUCAUUUCCAUAUUUUUUUUCCUUUUGCAAACACUCGUCACAACUAUUCACAAGUUCACAGAAAUAGAUGUUUUAGAUUGAAUGGUAUAAGUUAUUUUAUCCAUUGCCAACAAGCACACCGACGCUAACAAUCGACGACUCAACAAUCCUCUCCAAGGUUUUUAACAUUUUAUUUAGGGUUUCAUUUUUUUUUUUCACAUUUUUUGCAGUUUUUAUUGAUUUCAUUUAUUUAUUUCAAUGAGUCAAGACUUUUAAAUUCAUAUUGUAUGGACAUGAAGAAUUCCAGCCAAAGAAAACGGCUUUAGCAUCCAAGUGAUUUAUAGUUACAAAUGUGUUUAAGGAUACAAAAAUCUUUAGAAGAAUUAAUGGGCAUAAUCGCAUAAGAAGAUGAGAUAUGACACGAAUAGUUGAAUUUGAAAAAAAAAAUGAGUAAGGAUGUUUGUGAAAAUAAACAAAGAUAAUUAAGAAGUCGGACACUUGAGAUAAAUUUAAGAGUUAAAAUAUCAUUAUUUGCAGGUAAAAUGUCUCUAAUAUAAAGGAUAAAUGAUGGGGUUGCUUCUAUUUCAACCCAGCUAAUUAUCUUAGAAGUCUUCCCUUGUUAGUUUUAUAAUUUUAGUUUUAUAAUUAUACGUUCAUCCUUUAAUCUAUCAAAAUUACAAAAAAGGACAAAAUAUAAGUCAUCCUGUAAUUUAUCCAUAAUCUCGAAUUGAUAAGUCACACAACACAUGAACACGGUACUUGCAUUUUGGGGAAGGGGGGGAGGAGCAAGAACUAGAUACUAGGCACAUCAACUUCGUACAACUAAUCUGAUUAUGUACACUUGAUGGCAAGUAGUAGCAGUAGAUCUUAUGGACAAGUUAUACAAGCUUAUAUAAUUACCUCCUUUAAUCACAAACUAAAACUUCAGUUUAUUCUAACACAAAACAUAAAUGAGAAACAUCCCCAAGCCUUAGUAAUAAAUAUGCUACGAGAACACCUGCUGAAUUUGCAUAACCAGAGUGAUCACCAUAGCAGACAAGCUACACAACCAUAACGGAAAGGCAUUGAUUUCUGAAUAAUAAGGUCAGUUGUAGGAUAAUACCAAAUUCUCACAGCACUUAAAAAUAGUACAUACGCAGCAUUAAGACUAACACUUUGAUACUUAACCACUAGCAAACAGCAGCACUAUACCGUCCUAUUUCUCUCACAUAAAAUUUGUAUGUGAGCUGGCCAUGAUCAUGGUCCCAAACGGUAUGGACCAUCAGCCAUGUAGUGUCCAUCCAUAUAAAGAGAAGCAGCAUUCUGAGGAUGAAGGCCAUCCAUCACCAUGAAUUGCAUAUCUUCAGAAGGUUUCCAAUGCCGCUUCCUUUGGUUGAUAAACCAGUUGUUUAUCUGUUUCUGAUCCAAGCCAGUUGAUUCAGCCAAUGCCACCUUCUCUGUCUCCUGUUAAUUAUUAAUUAUCACAACAAAUUUUAGUUACAAUGCCCAGCUAAAAAGGACAAGUUGUAUUCAAUUUCAGGAAGAUAGAUAUACAUACCGAAGGAUAAGGCCAUUUAUAGUGUAAUUCCCACCAGUUAAGUAGCUUUUGCCUGGCUUCUUUGGGUAGUUUCCCUUUCUUCUUUUUCUUGGACAGUUCUUGUUUGAGGCUACUUAAGUAGCCACUGUAUUUCCUCAAUAGGUGGUUCUUCAGUUCUCGAUCUUCAGCCCGGGGAUCAAUUUCAGGUAACUCUGUCUCCCCACCACUAUUUUCUUGAUCUUCUUCGGAGGAGCCAACGCCUUCACAUUUCUGAUCAUCUGUCCAUUUGUCAAAAUUAAACAAUAUAUAUGUGCCCUUGACAGGUGACAAAAUUAAAAUGCAUCAAACAGCAUAUUAUUGCAAGAACCGUUGAGUUCCUAUGCAUAGGUUAACAAGAUGAGCUCCAAGGAAAUACCAAAAUGUCAAAAGAAGGAACAAUAUUGUGACCUCGUCUGUUGAAUUUGUCACAUAGGAAGCAAACAUAACCACCAAUCGCAGGAUUAGCAUUUAGGAACUCCAUUCUACGAUUAGCAUUUAGGAACUCUCACUAAACUUGGCUCGGUCUCAUUCAGAUAACCAAACUAUAUUAUUAAGUGCAUGAUCAAUUCAAGCAACUUUUUUUUUUUUCCUCACUGUCAGUGCUCAGUGGAAUUUAAUUUUUCUCUAAUGGACCUCAAAAUGCUAAUUCCUCACUGUCAGUGCUCAGUGGAAUUUAAUCAAUUCAAGCAACUUUUUUUUUUUUCCUCACUGUCAGUGCUCAGUGGAAUUUAAUUUUUCUCUAAUGGACCUCAAAAUGCUAAUUUCAGUCACAUUUAUUGCUAGAACGUGUCUCAUCUGAAACGAUUUUCAGAGUCAUCUCAUAAAUCUUACAUCAUCAAUCUAAUCAAUACAGGAAAGCAACAUUUAAAAGCUAUAUGCCGCCCUUCAAGACAAGACAUAUUUCACUUGAGAACAGGCUCCAAUAUUAAAUGCUCAGUAUGAGAAUAUGAGCAUAUUAAACUCCAAAAAGUUACCAACGUUUAAAAAAAUAAUCUUCUCAAAAAAAAUAAAUAAUAAAAAAUGAUCCAUUACAGUCAAUUCAAACCUAGUGGUGGAUUGUUGUUCUCAAUGAAAAGGAUAAUUUUUCCUCUUUGUGCAAAUCCUGUAAAAGAUCCCCUCACAAAAGUGGAUGAAGAAGAUAUAUUUCUAUAUAUAUCAGCAAGGGGUAGAUCACUUCUAGUUCGCGUAGAUUUUCAAACUAUGCUUAAUAAAUAUAAGUAUAUAAAUCUGGUUGACUUUAUAAUAUAAUGUCACAGCAGUACAUAUAGGAUAUGAGAUUGUAAACAAAUAACCUAAAAGCACAACCCGUACUCAUAAAAAAAAAAAAAGAGGCGGAACCAAAUAUAAAAUUAUGAAAAGCACAACCCGUACUCAUAAAAAAAAAAAAAGAGGCGGAACCAAAUAUAAAAUUAUGAAAACUUAAACAAGAAUUAGCCCUUGGCAUCCAAUUCUCUUUUUAAAAGAUGGUGCUCACUUCAAACAGAAGACAUCACAAAGAAACAAAGUGGAAACACAUGUAAAUGAACAGUUACUCAACUCAUGCUCAAUCAAGGUCACCAAAAUAGCAGUUGACAAAUUCUAGGAGGAUAAAGCAUUAGGAAACCCAUGAGAAUAAAGUAAACCAGCAAUGCACCACUGAUAAACUCAAUGUUUCUUGCUUUAGUAGUCUAAGAAUAGCAAACUUUCACAUGAAGCUGAACUAAUUGAUCUCCUAACUAAUAAAACAACAUAAUUAAACUCUUCUUGCCAUUCUUGAAUUUCUUAUGACAAUACAAGCCCUAAAAUUUGCUCUAAUUGGCAUUAUUUUCUUCAGCAUGACAUUUACACAUUACCAGUUGGGAAAAAUACGGGAGUUCAUUGGAGCAAAAACCAUCCUAUGCUUAGAUGCUGUAUUACUGCAAAUCUACAGUCAUAUAUAUCUGUGUUUCAAGCAGGCAGGAAGAGAAAUUCUCAAUUCAAUUUAAGUUGGCUACUCAUUUUAAAAUUAAUCUCAAAAUUCCUAUCACAGAUGAGGAGAUAUGUGAUGUGAUAUUUUUUUUAAUUCUCACAAUUUUUAAGGUAAUUAGUUAAACAUUGCGAUGUGAUUAUAUGCAUAAGCUUCUAUACACCUAAUUUUAAAAGUACCUUUUAAAUAAGCCAUGAGAAAGAGAUUGAUGGAUGCUAAUUGUAAGUGGAGCGUCAAUCAGAUUCAGACCAUCCAGCACAAUAACCAUCAAUCUAAAUUAAAAUAAAAUGCAUGAUACAUAUUAUGUUGGAUUGAGUUUCCAGAAAUCAAAGAUAAUCCUGCCCAAUUAAAUCAGAAUUAGCUCUCAUGGCCACCAGAUGGUGAGGCAUAUACAUAUAUGGUGAAUAAUAUAUACAUGGUUAAUUAAAAAUUAAUUUACUAUAGACUGACUUGACUGAAGCCUGAGCAUAUCAAUCUAAGUCAACACGCUAAUAGAGCCAAUUUCUUAACUACUUUCAAGCUUUUUUGAUGACAGUAAUUUCAAGCAUGCUUGAUGGACAGUAAACAAGCUCCUUUACUCUUAUUAUAUGGUUAAUCUAAUCAUUAAACUGAACCAUAUAUUAAUGUAUACAACCAAGCUCCAAUCAACAAGCAGUGCAUAGAUUAGAGUAUUUACUAUAGUUAAACCUUCGAUUUUAUGGAACCAUAACAUGUACAUUUCCUGGGCGAAUUGCCAAAACUCCAUGAAGUACAUCAAAAACAUAGAAGAAAUUAAUUACACAUUUAACAGGUAGAGAGAAGAGUUAACAUCAUCACCAGAUCUACUUUCAAGUCUUCUGUACCAUGGAUCAAGAUUCAGAAACCAUGAUUCCGUAAACAAGUUAUUGCUGCUAAAGGAGCACUCUCUCUACUAGUGCAUGAAUUUGUGAAAUGAGUUACUUUCAGUCAUUUCUGAGUAAUCUGGCUAAUGAAACAAAAUAUACUAUUCCCACUCCAAGGCCAAGAAAGAAAGUAUACAGGAACAACUCUUAGAAUAAGCAUGAUUUGUUGAUUAAUUUUGCAACCAAAUUGAGAAAUAAAAUAAAAGCGGCCCAAGAGUGAACGGAAAAUAAUUUGUACAAAUACAAAGAAUUUAGAAUUUUUAAUUUGAAAAUAUAAAAAUUUCUGACCAAAGCCGUACAGGCUACAUGGGGCAGCACUGAUUUGAACAGCAUCCUAUGUUCUCAAAAUUUCAUUACUUUAUUGAAGAAAAAACAAAUGGAUAUAUUUUUUUGCUAUUUCGAAGCAAAGAAUAAACUACGGGAACGACGACCAGAUGAUGCCCUACCAUAUCGAGGCAAUUAUAUGCAUUUUCUUAUAAACCUAAAGAAUCAGAUCUAGUAGAAUAAGAACAAAGAUACAGUCGAGAUUUUUGGGAACAGAAGCCCUAAUAAUUAAGAAUGGCAUUAAGUUGUUAGCAGAAUCAUUUUUCUAUGAAGCUACUUCCAGUAUAAACUACUGGGUUAGUUUAUAUCUAAGCUCCUUUUCAAGAGGAUUUGUAUGAUAUAUUAAGUAACAGAAUCUACUAUAGAAUCGUGAUUAGGGUUUUAAUAGGUUUGGGUUUGUGGUCUUGUAUACUUAAUUCUCCUACAUUAUUGGAACGUGCAAUAUGGGUCAAAGCUUCCUUCUCCGGGAACGGGAAUUAAUUGGCUAUUCAAUGCUUCAGGUACGACAUUUCCGAUGCACUAUUCAUUCCAGAGACCGAGACUAUCAGUCUGUGUAUUAUGCUACGCACAACAGCCAAAAAGAAACCCAUACCUGCAGCGUCAUCAAAACUUGAUAUGCAUACACGUGUGUACAAUACAGGAAGAAGAAAUUAAUUACCAGUGGAGUUGAAGAUCCGAACGGGGCCAUUGCUAAGCAUAUUAAGCUGAGUUUCGAUCCGCCGGAUGAAAUCCAUGGCUUCUUGUAUUGGCCUUGUUAGCUCUUCCCGAUAUUUCACUAGCAUGUCGUAAUAAGCCUCCUGUGUGUUGUUGAUUGGAAUAAUAAUAUGUGAACCUUUAAUUAACGAGACUCAGUAGUCAAAAAAGUUGAAUUUUUUUUUUUAAAAAAGUAUCACCAUAAAUUGAUCGAGUUCUGGGUCUUUAUUAGUAGAGUCUCUCGAAUUCACCGACGAUCGCUGCCUUGACUCGAACUCCUGUCUAGCAGCUGCAAGCCGAGCCACAACUUCAGGCGGAGCUCCGACCUAAACAAAAGCAACAGCCAAGAUUUGAGGAAGAGAGUUAACUAAUUAAUAGGCAAGCUCUUAAUAAGCGUCGUGUUAGUUCAUUAAGUAAGAACCUUUUGGCAAUCCACGUAGGCUUCCAAAAGGCUGGAAUACUGAGGAUGGGAGAUGAUCUUGGCUUUAAUAGCUUCUGUUUCAGAGCUCUCAUUUCCUUCUUGCUGUGAUUGAUGAUGAUGGUGAUGCCCUUCUCUCAUCAUAUUAAGAGAGUAGAUAAGCUGCGAAGUGCUGGCUUCAGUUUUCACAAUCGUCGGAUGAUGUGUGUGCGCUUCAGGCGGUGGUGCCCGCUCAGAUUGGAAACAAGUACUGCCACCUGAUUGUAGGUGAAAGCUGUUGCUGCUGUUGCUUCUUAUAGGCAUCUGACCAUCACUUGCUCGACCAUAUGCUGAUGAUCCAACAACUUGAGAAGACGAAUACAAGAAAUUUCCUCUAGGAGUCGUGUUCUCGUUUAGACUGUUGUAACCCUCCAUUUAUCAACAAACCCAAAAGAAACAAAGAAACAAAAUAGAAACCCUAAAGCAAGCCCAAGCAGUAGGACUUGUUAGUGGAAACAAACAGAAACCCUAGAGAGUAUAGACUUGUCAUUUAUACCAAAAGGAAAAAAGGAGAUUUUUCAUUGCCAUUUCGAAUCUACUGAUUUGGGCAAUUUUGGCAAUGAAACGGCAGUCUGUCUAUCCAGGAGGUCUUGAAGUGAAAUUGCACCAGGACUUGUGCAUGUUAUAGAUCGAAAAAAUAUAAAGAUUAAAUCAAUAUAUAAAGAGUGAGAAUUGUUCUCGCAUGACGGUUGGAACUGAGGAAGAAGGUGCUGCUUAGCCGGAACCGGCAACGGCUGCUUGUCUUGAGUGGUUGACAAGACCUUUUUUUUUCCCUUAAUUAGAAAAGUGAAAUAUUUGAAAACUAAUAAAGGCGAAGAAAGAGUGUCAUGACCAUGAGAUAUAUGGCAGCUAAUGGAUUGUAGAUAUUUCUUUCUCUCUCUUUUUUCAUAUUUUAUUACACUUUCUUUCUUUCUUUCACGGACGAUCCAAUAAUUUCCCCUUGCUUUAGUUUUUUAUCUUUUUUUUUUUUUAUAGGAACCUUAUUUUAGUUGCUCUUGGGCUUUUCUUAUUUGACAUUCUACUCCUCCACCUUUGCUUUUAUAGUCCCUAGCUAGAGAGAGAGAGAGGGCAAAGAAGGAUUAGAAAGAGCCGCUACCUCAUUUAUUAUUAGUUUAUAGAGGUUUAAAUUAUUGCACAUUUGUCAUUUGUCUUGGAACUAUUAGUUUAUAACAUCUCUUUUAAUAGUGUUAACCUUAUCUAAUAUUCUAAAUUUUAUUAAAGUAUAAAAAAGUUAUUGAAUUAUAUAAUUUAAUAAAUAUAAUACCAUUACAUUAUUAAAUCAUAUAAUUUAAUAAAUUUUACAAUUAUUACAUUAUUAAACUACACAGUUUAAUAAUUUUUUAAAUUUUAAGAAAUUUAAAAUCAUAAAUUAGAAUAUUUCUAUCCCUUUUAAUAAUCCAUAUUUACGUCCAUGGAGAAGUCUAAAUUUGAACAUCACAUGUAUCAUAAAAAUUUUAAUAUUAUUUAAAAAAAAUUUAUCUAAACUAUUUUCUUUUUUUCAUUAGUAUGAAAUAACUUCACUGAAUUUUUUAUUAACAACUCAAAAACCUAUAAUCAUUAUGUCGAAUCAACUAUCUUCUUACUGAUUUAAUCAGCUUAUAAAAAAUGAACAAAAAUAUUUCAUAUAUACAUAAAGACAUUUGGUGCGCAUUAUCACGGCAUUCAAUGAUGGAACAUUUAUAUUUAAAAAAAGAAAAGAAAAAGAAAAGAUGGUACAUUUAAUAAAAAAAGCUAUAUAUAUUUUAAGCUCCCAAUGAUUAAAUUUCUAACGUUUUUAUAGGCAUUUGCAUAUAAAUCAGAUUACUUGCUAGAAUCAAAACUUUUAGCGAUUUUUAUUGUAGACAUAAUUGUUACUUGUAGGGAUGACUUAUAUUUGGAAGAGGGAAUAAAAUACUAACCACCCAAAGAAUGAUAGUGUCGGAUAGUAAUUAUAUGAUAGUGUCGGAUAGUAAUUACUUCUUAAUCAAUACUCUUUUUAGAGGAUUAUUCUUAAUUAAUACUUAAUAAUGUCAAAGAACCGAAACUAAUUAAUAAAUAUAAGUAGUUUAAAUGGAACUAUAACUAUGAGAUGCAAUGGUAGAACGUAAUCUUUAGUCCCGGUGCCAUUUUGUUUUAAAAGAUGGUUUAUAAGGGUCAACAUUGACAAAAAAAUAAAAGUUAAAUUUGUAAAGCAAAUAUGCCAAAUAGGGGUCAUAUUGUAGUAAAAUGGAACUAAUAGGGGCCACGUAAUAAUAAGUCUAAUAUUUUGGUCAAAUUUACCAAACAUUACAACUCUUAAUUAGGGAUGGCAAUAGGAAGGGGAGGGGAGGGGACCAAUCUCCCCGUACCCAUUUAUGAUAUUUUGCGUAUGUCCCCGUCUCUUCACCGUCCCCGUCAGAAUUACUUGAGAGAAUCUCAAUUCCCUCCCCGAAUAAUAACAGGGGAUUCCCAAGGGUCCCCGAUCCUCGAAUAACUAAUACAUUUUUUGUUUUCGAUUUUGAGUUAAUUAUAUUAAAAUAGAAAAUUUAAAUAAAAGUAAAGUUUAAAAUAUAUCUUAUAUUAAUAUCCAUUACAAAAGUCACAUAUAUUAUAUUAGUAAGUAACGCAGCAUGUAAGGGAUACAAACUUCUUUUACAAACUAUCGUGAAUAAAUUAAUAGUCUAAUACAAAAUUGUUACAAAUAAAAUCGAAUUUAGAUUCAAAAUUAAUUUUUUCAAUGUUGCCGUUGGCACUUUAUAAAUGUGGAUUAUUCCCUUUACAACACAAUAGUUAAGUCGGAGCAAAUCAAGAAUAAAUAUUAGAUUAGACUAGAUUAGAUUAAAUUAGAUAUUAAAAUUGUGAUUCGCUGUGAUCGGUAAAAACGUUUCCCCGUCCCUUCCCCGAAUAAGAAAUUGGGUAUAAAAUUAUCCUCAUACUCUCCCCGAAUGGGAAAAAUCCCCAAGGAUACCCGUCCCCGUGGGAAUUUUUGCCAUCCCUACUCUUAAUACCCUAUGGGCGUGUUUUGUAGUUUUCACCCCGCAUGCUGCAUCCGUAUGCGUUACGAUGCACCGUAAUACGUUUUGCCUAAUAGGCAGUUUGACUCAUUAGUUUUUUCGCCAUUUUUUUAAUAUCAUAAUAAAUAAAAAUAAAUUUGUAAUUUAAUAUUAUAUUAUCUAAUAAUAUAUCUAACAUUAAUUUUUUUCUUUUUCUGCUGUACCGUACAUCCGCCUUGGCCGUACAGCAGACAAAUAUUAUUUCAUAUAAUAUAGUUUAUGUUGCACCAAACAUAAUAUUGUAUUAUAACUUAAUACAUGUAAAUGCAACACGCCAUUAUGUAAUAUAUCUAAUACAAUACAAUAUAAUAUCUCAAACACACUUUGAUUUCAUUUCUUCUCGAGUUUCUGCACAUAUACGUCAUUAACCACGUGGUAAAUCACUUUCCUUUCUACGUUAGCGAACAAAUAUUUUUUCUUUCUAUGUAUUAAUGGGAAUUACAUGCUUUUUGCCUUAAAUAUUUAUAGGUCGUUACAACUGAGGACAUAAUUGUGUUAAAAAAUUAGGAAAAGAUAAAGGUUUUGAUGAAAUUCACCUUAUCUCUAUGCACAUUUUAUAUUUGGCUCUUUUUUUUUUUCCUCAUGCUAUAGUCUUAUUAAAUUUUUCAUUUCCCCAUUAUAGCUUUCCUCGUUGAACCAAAAUCUUAGUGCAGCCUCUAUAUCUAACCAUUCUAUGCCUACAUGUCACCUAUUAUCCUAAAAUUUUCUAAUGAAAGUGGUUUAAAAACUAGAAAUGAUAAGAUCUAUACUAUAUAGUGUGUUUUUAAUGAGAAUUUCCGCAUUUUAAUAAAAUGCGAGGCGAACUUUUAUACAUUAUGAAAUAGUUUAUAAUGUUAUAAAAGACUCAACAACGACGUCAAAUUCUAUCUCACACUUUAAUAAAGUGUGAGAAUUCUGAUCGAAAAAUUUAUAUACAUAACACUAUACUGAGCUAAGUCUAAAAAAUUUGCUCUUUCACGUAUAAAGUAUCAACUAUCAACCGAUUAACCUUCUAGAAUACGCCAGGCUCGUUCCCCUUUAUGUCUCUUUUCUUCUUUUUCUCCAUAUAUAAAUAGCUAGCAAGUUGCUUCUAGAGAUGGCAAAACCCCGGUCCGGGUCUGGGUCCGGGCCGGGUUUUAUCCGGGUACCCGAAUUUUAUGUUUUUUACAAGUGAUGCCAAAGACUGACCCGGCUUCAUACCCGGGUCGGGUAAUACCCGGCCCGCAACGCCCGGGUACGGUCCGGGUCCGGACCGGGCGGGUAUUUUUGCCAUCUCUAGUUGCUUCGUGGAUGGAUAAUUAUUCUUGCUCUUCUGGUUCUUACAAUUAGCUUGGUGCUUGAACUCUAUUAUUUUUUUAUUAUAAGAACAUAAAAUUUUAUUCAAAAAGAAAAAAGAAGAAGAAUAGAAAUUAUUUCCAUUGCAUUUUGGAAAACUUGUUCCACACCCACAUCUUCGAUACAUAGUAAUUCGAGAACAAAACAUUACUUGUUCAUACAGAAUCAGCACGUAAGCAUUUAUCUCAAAAUUUUGGAAUUACACUCUAUUGUUUAGAUUCCAUUGCCAUUAUAAAAUCAAAGAAUCUUAAGAUCCUGAUCUGAAAAUUAUAAUAUACAUACAUAUAUACAUACUCGUUCUUUAUUUAUUUUUUUUAAUACUAUCCCUGUCUGUUUUUUAUUUUCCUUUUUUUUCUUUUUUGCCAAUAUGUAAUCAAUAGACAUUAGGAUGCAAGGAUUACUAAUAUAAUUACUGUUCACCUUGUCAUUUCCUCAGUUCCAGCACUAAAUAAAUCGUUUGUUACCGCAUGAUAGUGCAGCUUAAAUAUGCAAAGUAAUUAUGUACACAAAAGGUAAGUCGAUUGCCCCAUAAAACUGUGAAUGACUAUUAUUAUUUAAUUUGCUGCUAAUGAAUUAAUUAACUGAACCAAACUGUAUAACUUCUUAUUUUUAACUAAAUUUAAUUUGAGGAGUCGAAUCUUAUAUCUUAUCAAAACAAAUCCCAGGUUUUAUCGCUCAAAAAACCCAAAGCAGAUAAGCAAUGAAGAGACUGUGGCUAGUCAUUAGAAGUAUGCUCAAAGCUCUUUUCCAAAUUUAUACAUGUUUGCCUCUUAAAUAAAACUGUACUCCGUAAGAGAACCAUGUGGGAAAAUGACGUAGGAUAAUAACACCAAUUCUAUAUUUAAAGGUUUUAAAUUAAGAGAAAAUUUUGUGUAAAUGAAAGUAUCAAUCCUUAUUGAAGUGACAUGCUUAACCAAUCAAUUUCUUCUAAUGGUAGGGUAAUCAAAACUUUUAUAGAACGGGCCUUGUAAAGCUAUUAAACCAAUCAAAGUAACCAUAAAAAACAAUAUUAUGACUUUAGCUCACAAAAAAAAAAAAAAUCAACUAUACUUGACAAUGAUCAAAUGGUUAAACAACCCACAUCACCAACUUCCUCAAAUUUCUCUCUUGAGAAUAAUGAACACGGGCGAUCAAACCUACGUAGGUCAUCUUGGGCAAUAAUAUCUUAAAAAAUAAUACUGAGAAGAAGGUCAUCUUGGCCAGCUAGCUAGCUACUCUAGACCUAGGGCAACCUCUUCUGACAGGCACCAGCUAGCCGCCUUGCAACCACAAAGAUGCUAUAUCUGAUCACGAUUCAUGAAUUAAUUGACGCAUGUAGAUUAUGACUAUGUAUUACAAUGAGUAUUUAUGCAGCUAGGUAUACUAAUAACGCACAAGCCAAGAGAAGAUACAUAACUGAGCAGACAUCAAGUUAAAAAUUAAAUGACAGGAACGACAACCACCUAUAGAUUUAAAAGCUCAUAAAGUCAUGUGACCUCGCGCAAUGUUGUUGGAUGUACUGGUGUGCAAAGUGAUGUGCCAAAUGAAAGAUCCGUAUGUGUAUAUAUAGUACAAUAUUCAACGGUUAACAGUGGAAAAAGGGCCCUGAUCUCAUUUCAACUCAGCUGCGAGUCUGAAACCGAGCAGAUUGUACUGUUUAUGAUGACCAUUUGCAGGUAAAAACAACGUGUGUCUGCAAUAUUUGCCAAGAAAUCAGAUGAUUGUUUUUAUUAAUUAAUAAUCAUGGGCCUCGUUGGCUCAGCAACGCAACGAGGUAUUGUAUUUGUAUUAGCUGGCGGCGACGACCCCCACUCCCCCACCAUUUUAUCACGUAACAUAAUAAUGCUAAAGACACAAAAAGAGAGACCUUUGAUUGACGACUGAAUGAGAUUAACACCCCCCGAAAGAUGCGCGCUACAAACUGUGGGGGCCAAAGCUCCUCUUUUAGCCUUUUGCUUUCAUCAAUUUCAUUUCAAAAAUCAAUUAACACUUCUUCUUUUUUUCUUUCUGAAAUUUCCAACUCACAGUCAGAAAACACCAGGAUGGAUGGUUACUAUUCAUCUUCAUUUGUCAUUCAAGGCAAUUACUCAGCCACUACUUUUUUUUUUCUUAAAGAAAAAAAAAAUCUACUGCACUUCGCCUCUUCCCUAUGCAAUUUACUAUUUACAUUGUACAUUACUAUUAUUAUUACCAUACAUUCUCCUGUUUUAAAUAAAUAAAUAUUGUUAGGUUUUUUUUACUUUGCAUAUUGCUACCAAGGAUCAUUCCCCGUUUCCCCUGAUGAUUCACCCAACCCUACCUUUCAUCUAGGUAAUUAAAAGUGUUCUAUUAGUAAAUAAUAAUUAAUGUAAUAAUAGUUAAAUGUCAAUCAUGCAGCAGGCAAAACAAAAUCUUUGAAAACUCAUUAAAGUUGAGAGAAUCAUAAUUCUUAAAAAAAGAAAGAAAGAAAAAACCAACUACAUUAAUUAUCUGGAAUAUUAUGACUUCAGAAGCAUCAAUGGGAAGUAAUAAUUAGCUACAUUUGUCAGCCGCUAGCCAUAAAAGGUCAUCUAAAGUAAAUGGAUGCUUUACUAAUGUCAUUAACAUUUGUUAAUGGGAGUCAAUGUAGCUUACUGAUUUGGACUAAUCAAUAUUCUUGCCAAUAAUAAAAUUUCGUGGCAAGUUUUCUUCCGAACAAUUACAUUAUGGUGAUGCGUUCCUCAAACUACAGUUAUCUUGUCCAUUAUUGGUUUGGUGCCAACCUUUUGCCAGUCAAAUCAUCACCUUCAAUCAUCAUCUGAAUGAGCUGUUCCUGUCAUGUCACCCAAACACAGGCCAGGUCUACGGAUUGUGGUUGCCGUGGUAACAUUAAUUCUAAAAUAAUGUUGUUUUUCUUUUAAUUUUUUUGAGAAGAAAUAAUGUUGUUAUUCUACGUAAUAAUUGCAAAUCACAGCUAUUAGGAAUAGUCUUUCCCGAUCAGCUAACACAAGCGCCCUUCCAUCCAAUCGUAAUAAUCUUUCCCUAUUUUGUCCCAAUGCGGGAAAAUUUAUCACUCAUCAAUAUGGGUGUUCGUGAAUUAGAUUUUACGGAUUGGACAUUAAUUUAUAUUCGAUCUAUAAUUUUAUAGAUUAUAAUUUUUUAAUCCAAUCCAAUCAAUGAAUUAAUAAAAUUCAAUUCAAAUUCAAUCCAUACAUCUACGGAUCGAAUGUAGAUUUGACUCAAUCCAUAUCUAAUCCAACGCGGAUUUGACUCAAUCCAUAUCUAAUCUAUCAUUUUACACAUUAGUUUUCGAAUUAAAAAUUUUUAGUUCUCUCGAACUAAUGAAAUAAAAAAAAUCUAAUAUAAAAAUAAUUUUGCUACCAAUUAAAUUUAAAAUUGAAUAAAAUUUAAAUAAAGCUAAAAUAAUACAUUUAAAGUUUCAAAAUAUAACACAUCAAGACUAAUUAUUCAAAUAAAGUUACAAUAAUACGUUCAAAGUUUCAAAAUAUAACACACCAAGUUUAAUUGUUCAAAUAAAGUUACAAUAAUACGUUAAUAUAACACCGAAAUUAAUUGUUCAAAUAAAGCCACAAUUAAUUGAAAUGACGAAGUUUCCAAACACAGUCUGAUCCUUCACUAGGGCUGUUGUGCCUGCCGAAAAGUGGUGAUUACGGAGCCGUCCGCAAUGGGAACCAGGAGAAGUCGUACGGGUGGCGAUCUUAAAGGUUGUGAUAGUGAAAUUGUUUAGCUGGAACCAGUGAAUGUGAAGUGGCUCGAUGGACUUGGGAAAGGGAAAGAAGAUGGCUUGCUCUCGCCGGAAUCGCGCGGCCAAUGUCCUUCGAAUCCGUGUCGAGAGUGUAUCCAACCAGUAUUGAGUGUUGCUAGUGUGUGUGACGGCGGAGAAACUUAGGGUUUUUUGUUUGCAAAUUGUUGGUGACUUGGCGUCAUGUUACUUUACUUUUGGGUGACUUUGUAAAUUGUUUUCGACUUGGCGUUAUGUUACUUUGCUUUUGCUAGUGCGUGUGACUUUGAUUUUAUUUUGUUUUAUAAUUUUUACAAGUUAUAUUUGUAUAUUUGAUUAUUUCAUUAUUUUUCAUUUUAUAUUAUUAUUGGGUAAUGGCUAAGAUAUCUUAUAGUGCUUACGUAAUUAUGUGAUGUCACAUUUAUAUUUUUUAAAUUAAAUUUAUAAUAAUGUUUUAAUUACAUUUUUUUUUUGCGGAUUCACGGAUUUCUGAGGAUUUACAGAAGUAAAUUCAUAUCCAAUCUAUCGACUGCGGAUUUUUAAAUUUUCAAUGCUUUUAAAUUUUCAAUGCAUAUCAAAUCCACGGAUCAAAUUGAGUGGAUCAGAUUGGAUUAUGAACACCCCUACUCGUCAAUGAAAGCAUUUUGAUAAUAAAUUUGGAAAACACACAAAAAAUGAAAUUAACAAAAAAAAUUUAACAACUGAUUUUGAAACAUUAAGAAACAAAUUGAUUUUGAAAAACAACAUCAUUUUCUUUAUUAAAACAACAUAAAAUGUCACGUGUUUAACAUUUUUUUUUUUUUUUGUUGACAAUACGUGUUUAACAUCUUUUGACUAUAUAAGGUGCAUGUCAUUUGAGUGUAAGCUUCGACGAUUACUUUCAAUAAGAUACUGCGAUAUAUAUAUAUAAAAAUCCCUGCAAGAAGAUUACAAAAUUUAUUAGGCUCGGCCCCCUUUUGGCUGAUUCUUUUGCAGUCCCUUUUUAGGAAAAUAAAAUAAAAUCAUAAACAUCCAUAUUACAACUUAGACUAGUGGGACUCUUUAAUGGUUUUGUUUAAUACUUGUUUAACCAACCACUCAAACUUAAUAAUUAACAAGAGCCCGAGAGGAAAAUGUUUGACUUGUAAAUCACAAAAUAAAAAAGUUGCAAUGACGCAUUUUUAUUAUCAGCCACACAAAUAACUAGGUUGGCGAGAUUAAUGGGAUGAUUAAGCUUAUUAAUAACCUACCAUCCAGCUGCUUACCAUUUAAACUCUAAAAAGGCCAAGGUAAAAAACAACUGUCAUUUGCUUUGCUUUAUUAGGUAACACAUUACUUUUCUUGUAUCUACUAGUACUAAUGAAGAGGUUUAGGGCCAUAAGCAGCUGUGUAACUAAAGUGUCCUUUCCAAGAAUGAUAAAUAGAUGGCCUAAUCACUUAAAGAUGGAAUAACAGUACCUAGCACUAAGUAUUGACUAAAGAUUGAAAGAGGAUUGUGUAGCUCUAAUCUAAUUGGAGCUUUUUAGAUGUUGAUUUGACUGAAAGAGAUAAAAGGUCAUGUGUGCUAGCAGAUACGACGAGAAGAACAAGUUAAAACAAUAAAGGGUGUGCAAUGAAUACUGGUAAUUGUUGAAGUGAAAAAUAGAUCUUCUCAACGUGUCAGAGAUCAAUGAGAUCAUUUGGAGCUAGUGUUGAUCAACUAGAAAUUUAUUAGUUUUUAAAUAAUUAAAAUUUUGGCAGGCCACCAGAAAUUGAAUGUUAAAGGCGGUAGAGAUUAAAAAUCUAAUUUAAAUUUUAUCUAUUUUCCACCUUUUCUUUUUUAUAUGACAAAUAACCAAAAAUUCCAUUUUUGUCAUUAUAAAAUGUACACCACAUUUGUAAACAAAUAGUAAAUUAGUUUACCAAACACAAACAAUAAAUUAUUAAAUAAGUUAUUUUUAUAUAAUUUCAAUGUACCGAACAUUUUAUUGAAAUAUUUUAUUUGCAUGAAUGAGAGAACUCGCCGGUCUCCUCAACUACAGGUUUACGUGAUUACACAUUUAAUAUUCUUUCUCUUGUGAUAAAAUUUCAGCAUCAUCCAGGAGGAAAAAAAAAUUAAAUUAUUAUAUAGAAUCUGAACACUAGCACUUUGAUGCCUUACGUAGGAUUAGGAAUGUUAAUUUUACUGAAGAUCUAGAGAGAAAUAGUGUUCACCGUAUGAUAAAUAUUAUGACACGUGAUAGAAUUUUGUGAUUCCUUAUAACCUAAUGUUAAAAAUAUAAAUAACUAAAAAGCAUCAAGUGCCACUUUUGCUCACCAAAAAGUGAGCACCGUCGUUGAUUUUUGUUAUGCACUCAUUGUUAAUUGGGAAAAUAUCCACCGUCCAUUUGUUUUUUUAAUUUUUUAAAAAAUACAUAAUUUUUUUUUUACUGAAAUUCAUCUAAAGUUACAUUUUGUUUCACUUUUCCACUCAUGUUUGGAAUCCGUUAAGAAAACUAACGGAAACUUUAAAAAAUGACUAUUUUACCCCCAAAACAAAAAUUACAAUUUCAACCUAAAAAAUACCAAAAAUAAUUAGAUUUAAUGAUUAGUAUCAUUAUUUGUACGUUAAUGAAGUACAAAAAAAUCUUAACUACUAAAGAUUAUAACUCAAUAAAUAAUAAAACUCUACUUAUCUUAAAUUCAAUUAAUGGUUUGCGAGAUUUGGCUAUUUUUAAUACUACUGUUAUAAUUUAGCAUUCUAAUUACGUACAUAUUUAAAAAAAAAACCCGUAUUUGAUGGUUGUGGAAUUAAUUUCUUUUAUUGAUCGAUGGAAAAAAUAUUUAGAUUUAAUCUGAUUAUUUUUGGUAAUUUUUAAGGUGAAAUUGUUAUUUUCGUUUUGGGGGGUAAAAUUAUCAUUUUUUUAAGUUUCCAUUAGUGUUCUUAACGGAUUCCAAACGGAAGUGGAAAAGUAAAAUAAAAUGUAACUUUAGGUGGAUUCCAGUAAAAAAAAAAUUAUGUAUUUUUAAAAAAGUUGGAAAAAACGGGUGGACGGUGGAUUUUUUUCCCUUAUUAAAUUUUGUUAGGAGUGUAAGUCCACCUCAUAAUAAAAAAAAUACUACAAAAAUUUGAAUCCAUUCAAUUUUACACCUAAUAUAUGUAAUUUUUAUCAAUCGUCUAUCAAUAAAUCAUAGUUAUUCUUACAUAAUGGCAAAAUAAAAACAAACACAAAUUAUAGUGGUAGUUAUUUUAUAAGAAUAAUUUUAAAUUUUUGGCGGAUAAUUGAUACACAUUUUAAGCAAUAAAACUUCAAUAAAUUUAAAUUUUUGCAAUAUUCUUUUAUAAUCGAAUAAUUUUUGGAUGGAUAACUAAAAUUGUCCUUUUUUUUUUUGUUAUUCAUAGACUUUGUUAGCAGGAAGAAUAAAAAAGACGUCCACUACUCAAUCAACUAGAUGUCAUUUCAGGACGUCUUAUUGCAUUUUAUUUUUGUUCUCAUUUUUCGGUGUAUAAUUAAUGUUCACACGGAACCUGAGAUGCUGCAAAACUAUAAGCUAGUUUUAAACUUUUAACUUCUAUUAAAUUACCGCUGGGGUGUGCAAUAAUAUUCUGGUGGCAUCAAGCAGUUAAAAAAAUAAGCUUAAAGGUACCACCACUCUCAUACGUCAUACAUUCACCAAUUUUGUGGAUUUCACCAAUAAGCUUAAAGAUAAUUACUUUUCGUCAAAGGAUAAAGAGAAAGAAAGCAAACGAAGAUAAGGUUAAAUACGAUUCAAUCUACUUAAUUAUUACUUUAAUGUUAUCUUAAUUUACAUUUGCAAGUAAUACUGGCGACAAAUGCAUUGUCACGCAUCAAAUUAACUCGCCUGUUUGGUCCUUUUUGUUGGCUUUAUACAUAGAUUUUUAAUAACAGAGAUCUUUUCUAAUUGAAAGCUAGCUUUACGUAAAGUUCAUUCAAUAAUCUCGUAAAAAUAAAUUAAACCUUUGCAUGUACCUGAGAAGUUAUAUAAUAAUAUUUUGUAAGCUCUCACAUGCACAAACAAAGGUACAUUAUACAAAUUAUAGUGGGUUACCAAAGUUAAUUUCCAGAGAGAUGAUAGGAUUCUUUUGAACUGUGAAACGUCAAUCGUCAUCAUAGAGGCUACUAUCUGAUGUCAACAGUCACAAACAAAGAAUCUUAAUCAAAUCUUCUUUUGCACCUAAUUUAUUUAUUACGCCAAGUUUAGCAUACCACCUUUUCUUCUCGUGGUUCACACACAUAUCAUAAUCUUUUUGGGGUUAAUAUCGCAUCAGAUUCACCCAGGUGGCAGCCUAAAAUGGUCGACCAUACGUUGUGGGCUCUCUUCAUAAUUUACAUUUUUUUUUUUUUUUGGGAAAUGACGCUCCCUAGUUUGGAUUAGUUAAUCCUGAGUAUCGGUAUGGCUCAUUCUUGGAAAAUCUUUGUUCCAUUUUUUUUUUCUAUUAACUUGUCCCUUCUGAUCUUAUAUGAUACUAUGAAAUGAUUUGAAUAACCUUCUAAAGAUGAAAAUAGUAUAAUUUUUUUUUUAAUGAAAGGAAAGCAGUUUCAAAUUGAACGUUGUUAACAUAAUUUGACUUGUAUAUGAGUAUGCAGGACCACUAAAUAUAGGACAAAUUAUUUAAUUUUGGAGCUAAUAAAAAGAAAUUCCAUUCCAUCAAUUGGUACAAUAAUAACUUGUUCAACAAAAGCUCAAACAAUCCACAUAAAGAUCACAUUAUGAGCGCAUUUGGCAGCUUGCAUUACACUACUGCAAUGUAUGAAAAGACUAUUUUUGUGCUAACCCAUAUUUGAUUGCAAUUUCUAAUUGUAUUGCACUGUAUUAAAAAUGUGACUAAUACAAUAAAAGAGGUAUAAAAUAAAUUGAUAGGGUAAAGUUUAAGUUGUAUUUGCAUUAAAACGUUGUUUAUAUUUUAAUUAUAAUUUUUUAACUUUUAUUAUUUAAUAUAUUAUAAUAAAUUUGAAUUAAUAUUUAUAUUUAAAUAAAAAAAUUAAUUUAAAAAAUAAUACAAGAGAGUAUUAACCUAAAUAUUUAAUAAAUAAACUUAAAUAGUAUCAAUUUAAUUUUAAUAUUAAUAAAAAAAUUAUAUCAUAUAAUACAAUCCAUAGUUAAACCAAACAUAGUAUUGCAUUAAAACUUAUUGUAAUGCGCCCUUAAUACAAUAUAUCAUAAUAUAAUAUAGUUAAUAUAAUGUAAUACAAAAACAAUGUGCCAAAUGUAUCAUAUAUAUAUAUAUAUCAAACAAAAUAUUAAAUUCUAAUAGUUUCAUGGACUUAAAUAAAUGGUUUUGAAGUAAAUUUAUUUAAUUAAUUAUCCGAUCAAAUUCUUAUCACAAAAAAAAAAAAAUUGUGUUACAAAAAAUUAAUUUAAAUUUUACCCAGCUUAUCUACUAACAAUUUAAACAUAAGAAAAUUAGGGCAUAAUAAUUAUGUACUCUCUUAAACAUAUUGUAGCUCCAUUUUGGCAUAUAUGAUCUUCAUCUCAUUUGACUCAUCCUCUGCUUCCACGAAGUAGGCUUGAUUGACUGAUCAAAUUACCCAAAAAAAAAAAUUCGAAUCAUAAAUAAACAUGAUUAACUUUCGUACCCUUGUCUUCAAAGAAGUAGACAUGAGAGCAAACCUACAUUCAGAAAAGCGAAAUUAUUUAAAAAAAAAUUAUGAUUGAUUUGGGGUUAGUAUUAUUAUAAUUAUUACUAUUAAUAAUAAUAUUUAAUUAUAAUAAAAAAUACCGUUUAUUUGGAAGUGUUAUGGCCGAGGGUUAGUACCUAGUAGCAAGCCAGUGGGACCUCAGUAAUAAUGGAGUCCAUUCAUUGAUUAAAAUAGAGAGAUGGAAAGUAGAAACACACAGUUCACAGACAAGACAGAAAUACCACUAGUAGUGAACUGAAGUUACCACACGAACGAAAAAAAAUACCAGACGGUGCAUGUGAGCGCGAGACGAUCAAAAGUUUUUUAUGACGGAUACUGAAGGGAAUGCUGAAUCACUGAUGUGAUGAAUUUACAUUUAUAAUGCAGUGCUGUGUUGGUGGGGUCUUGAUGAUCAGUUUUGAGUUUCAAGGGACCCAUACGGAGUGUCGUUUCGGUGGGAGGCGCGCGAGAACAGCGCGGGAGCUGUUUCCCGAUGCACAAGAGACUGCCAGUCCCCGCACCCGCACCCACUCCCACUCACUGCAGCUUUUCUUCUUUCUUAACUUCUUUUCUUUUCGCUCGCGAUUUUCCAUAUAGCUUGAUAUUAUAGUUAAUAAUAAAAAUAAUAAUAUCGCAUAUAGGCAACUUUCUGAUUCUUGUUGAUGGGGGACCCAUCCGUUUACCAUCACAUCAAAACGUAUGCGAUGAUGAUCAUCAUAUCUGUGAUUGAUUGACAACAGAGUGAUACCAAGCUCUUCCAUCUCUUUGGUGAAUACUGUUAACCCAUGUGAGUUGGGCCCCAGUUAAACCAACUGUUUGAGACAGGGAUGUGACUGUUUUUGGGUCCUAUCAUCAACACCAACAGCAGGACCAUUGAAUUGAAUUGAAUUGAUGUUAAGUUUUUUUUUUUUUUUUUUUCACUCUUCUCUUUAGCAGAUGGGAUGUGUCUUUCAAUCCGAUGUGAUGCCUGCCUCCUUCUGGCCCUCCCCCACUACCAUCGCCAUUUUUAAGCCUUAUUAUAUAUCCUCCAUCCACCUGUCUGCUUACGCAACUGUAGUGCUGAUACAUGUUUACUAGUUGUGUUUCAUGUUCCAAAGCCUUUAUAAAAUUAUUGAGAAUUUAAUGUCAUUUUAUGCUUUUAUAAUAUGGAAACAAUAUUGUAUGUGUCAUGUGCGGUUGAAUCUCUCAACACUCCCCAGGAGUCUCCUUUUCAUUAACUCACAUUUGCGUUAUGUGGUUGAAUAUUAUGUUUCCUUAUUGUUAUUAUUAUUAUGGUAUUGUGGGAUUGCCGUUGCUAUUGAUGUUGAUCUCAGAAAUCAUUCUAGAUGCUUAUAGAAUAUGAUUCAAGUGGCUGCUGCUAAUGGAGUGCAUAAGAAUUGACAGAAAUAGAAAUGCUGAUGUUUGACUGGAGGAGAAUCGCUUCUGGAGAUUUUAACCGAUACGAUUGUAGAAUCCUAGUGUAUCAUUAUGGACCCCUUAAGCCAAUAGACUUCCUUAUCACCCACCUAACUUUACUCUUUUUUUCAACGUAAUUGGGUGCUGGUCUUAUUCAAUCAAUUUGUUUUUCGAGAUUCUUUCUAAUUCUUUCACUGAGUUCUUGUUUCCCUUCCUGUGCUUUCCUUUGGGUUCAUCAUCAUCUGUCUGCCUGUCUCUGUCAGCUUAGCCUAUGGCUCAGUAUGGAAACGUGUUUCUCAGUUUUGGGCCUAACAUAAAGGCCCACUCUAUCUGGGCCGGAAUAGCUCCUCAUAUAGCUUUCACAAUUAUAAUGCGGAGGAUAGAGGAAAUAACUAGCGUCACAUGGUAAUGGUAUAGCAUAACCAUUAACGCAACAACAUUUUUAUUCUUUUGACGUGGGUGUUACACGAUGUAAAUAAGAAAUCAAACUUGUAAAUGACAAACAUAUGCACUUUAAACAUUGGUAAUCCACAAUCCAAGAAUAGAAAGUGACCUUUUUCUGGAAGAAGCGUCACUAGCAGCAUCAGGAACUUAAAUCAAUAGUCACCACGAGUGGCGACUCACCCUUGUCAACAACAAAUGUCUUCACAAUCUUCUUGUGGAGGGUGGGAAUUUCUAUAGUGUAUGUCCCAGGAAAACCUCUAAACGCGAAUUCUCCUUGCUCAUCAACAUGUCCUUGAGCAUGAGACAGCCACUCCUGUUUAAGAUUUAGGAACUUUUUACCAGCUUCAUUGAUGUCACCUUCUGCAUUAACCAAAUGUGCACUGUCACGGCUCAUAAACAACUCCCAAAAUCCCCACAGCAUUAUUCCUUCCACAGCAGGGUGAGCAAAAGCUUCUCGGAGCAUGACUUCGAGAUCCUCCCCUCUGACAUAUUCAUUAAUGGAAGACACAUCAAGCUCUGUAAACCAGAUUGGAAGGCCUAGGAUCCCCAGAUUAUCCAAAGCAGAACAAACAAUCGGUCCCACUGGACUAUCGAUGUGUCCUUGAAUUCCAAUUCCCCCUACAGGGGCACCUUGCUCCUGCAAAUUAAGUAUGUGUUCAAUGUACUUUUCCGGAGAUGAUCUGGGGUCACACCCAUCUUCAACAUGAUAAUCAUUCACAAACAAAGUGGCAGACAGAUCUAGCUGGUGUGCAGUCUUGAACAUAUAUGCUCGGAUAUCUUUCCCUAGUUUAUCUUGAUAGAAUGACCCAUGCAGCAUUUCAUUGUUCACAUCAUAGUGCCUGAACUUCCCCUUGUAUCGUGCGAGAAGCCCUGUUAGGCGAUUUUGAACAGCUGUCAUCAAGUCAUUUUUGUUUAGUGAUUGGAUCCAGGGCUGGACAGUGGCCUGUACUUCCCAGAAGAUGCAAUGACCUCGAGUCUGUAUGUUGUGGUUCAGGCACAGGUCCAACAUAUCAUCAGCAUCCUUAUAGUUGAAAUUUCCUUGUUGUGACUCUGUCCAAUACCACUUCAACUCAUUUCCGAACACAGCCCAGUUGAAGUAUUUUGUAAAAAACUUCACAAAAUCUUCAUUGUCUAUCUGUGAUCUAUUUAUGCAUGAACCAAUUGGAAAACUGUUUUGUGUUUGUUUCACUUUCACAAAGGUGCCAAGCAUGCUGCUGCAAUCCAGUCCUGACAAUUUCAGGACGACAUCACGCUUACGAAUCUGCAUUACAUGAAGUGAGAUUUAAUUAAAAACAAAGGCAGGGUAACAGAAUUCAAUGCUGGAAAGGAAUCGCUUUACUUAGUAAAGAUGAAAAUGGGAAGUAAAAGAAUUACCUUAUCAGUCUGCCUCCUCAAAUGUCUAAACCUUGCCUCACGAUCAACAGGAAAUAUCUGAAGACCAGCAACCAUUACAUCAAUACCUGAAGCAGGACCUUGUAUGUAAACCAUUACCUUCGAUGGUUGCUUCUCAAUCCUAAAGGACCCACCAAUUUCAUGCCACCUAUCGUCAUUUAUCUCAACUUGUCCUCCAUUGACCCACUGGUUGUCCACACCUAGUGCAAUGUUCACAUUUUGAGGACCUGUUGCACCGGAACCAAUACGCACCCAGGCUGCUACUUGAUAUGUCAAAAAGAGCUUCAGUUUCUCUGUGAUCAUUUGAGCUGGACCCAUCCAAGUCUGUGUACGAUUGGUCACAAGAAUAUAGUGGCCACUUAAAGGCUCAUGAGGUCCCAGGGAAUCUCUUGCCAUUGGAGGGAGUAUAUGUGGUGAGCCAGUUCCAAUGCUUAAAGUGCAAUUACCAAGGGGAAACCACCCAUUGGUGCCAUCACUUAGUUCACUGUUUGUGAUUAUGUUAACUCCAAAGGCUGGGUUCUGCAAACAAAAGUCAAAACCAAACAUUUUCAAUGCCUAAAACAACGAGGAUUGAAUUUCAAAAUGUUGAUGACAAAACUUUCAACCAAAAUACAGUAGAAAAAAAAUCGAAUAUAUUUUUCACAAUUUUAUCUGCUUAUUCAACUAACCUCAAUGAUUGGUGGAGGUGAAGGAGGGAUUUUCUCUGCAUGCUUUACCACCAAACUAUUUACAAGAAUAUCGGUGCCAGGAGGUGGACCUUCCAUAUAUAUAACUACUCUUGCAGGGGAACCAUUAAGGAGGAACUUCCCGUGCAGCUGUGCCCAAUCUUUGUCAGUUGCCUGUACACUGGCAAAGAAACCAGUUUGCUUUCAGCAGUGAAAGAAAUUGUAAAGUUGAACUAUCUACAACUGAUAUACCAAGCACAUAUUCAAUAAACAAAAUAGAAAUGCAUUCUCUCUGGUAUGAAGGAAAAGAUAAUUUCUUAAAAGCGCGAGAGAGAGAGAGCUUAUGUGAGAUGUCUUGAGAGAAUCAGGAUUGUUUAAGAUGGUGUUGCAGAAACUGCAAAUAGAAAACUAUAAAAGUUUAUGAUAAGGAGAUAACAAAUAAAGUAGAAACUUACUUGGCAAUGACUAUGUACUGAUCGCGUUGAUUUGGUGUUUGGACCCAUAAAGUUGCCUGUACAGUUGUAGUAGUAACAUUGCUACCAAAAAUGCGAACUACAGCAGUAACAUCAUAAGCAAGCUUUCGCUGCACUCUUCCGGUGAUCUCCUGCUGAAUUCCAUUCCAGCUUUGUGUGCGUUCUGUUGCAGAUGCAAAGACCUUUCCUGACAGUGGGACUAUUUUCCCAUCCGCCAUGGAAUCAUGUAAAACAAUUUUGCAGCCUCUUCCGGACCAAUUGUUGAGGCCAUCCUCAAAUUUGGGGUUGAGGAUAAUGUUCUCAUCUCCAGCAAUAUUGCACCCUAUGCUCUUAUUCUUUCAUAAUAUAGAAAAAAUGAAAUCAGAGUAAUCAAUAUUAGAUGAUAAGAAAAACAUUUUUGCAGACUGCUUCAGGUCAAAACUUAUGAAUUUUGAUAGAGCUGACUCUUACACAAGAACACUUAAGUUUAAGAAGCAAAUCUAAAUAAGAUAGAGAUGGCCAUCUUCACGAGCGUACUAUAUUUUAUUUCUUAAAUCAAAAUCAAAUAGAGAUGUCUUCCUUUUAGAACUGCCCUAAGUUUAAAACUUUCCAAAUCCAUGUAUUCAAGGGUUCCACCAGCAUUCUUGAAGUUGAGGUAAACUUAGGGAGAAAUAAAAGUACCUCACACUCACUAGGACUGGAACAGGUAAUCACCACCGAUCUUAUAAGAAGGUCCACUCCAGGUGCAGGUCCUUCCAAAUAAAAAAUGACCCGAUCAGGCACAGCUGACAAUGAGAAUGUGCCUUCCAAAUUUUCCCAGUUAUCUUUUGAUACAGAGGUCCUGCAUCCGUAAUACCAUUAUCACAUCUGUUGUUUCUCAAUAUAACGAGGAAAAAAUGACGUAAAUGAACUAACAGAAGCCAUUACUUUCCAAUAAAUAAAUAGCUCGUUUCUGAAUCUCGUUGUUCUAGUUUCAAAGUUGCCAGCACAUCAGCUGAUCCUUGAUGAGGCCCAGAUACUCCAACAGAAGCUGAAACCAAAUAGGUAAAACCAGGAGAAACUUUCUUUGUGAUAUCUUGCUCCAAUCCCUGCCAGCACUCUUUACGAUUUGUAACAACAGCGUGAUUACCAACUGAGUUUGCUGAUGUUCCUUCUGGAUAAUGUGAUUCAGCUGGAGCGAUGAAAGCAUGACAGCAAUUGGGGUGCCACGAGUGCAGCCCCAUAGAGAAAUCAUUAUUUACAAUGAGAUUAGCAGCAGUACUAGUGCUUAAAUUGAUCUUGUUAUGUUCUGCAAUCUGUCAGCAAAAGUAGAAGUCAUGAAACUUAAGCAGCACAAUGAACCUCCUUAAUGCACAAGCUCAGAAUACCCAGGUAUCACAAAAUAUACUGAGAAAAUGUGCAAUAUAAUGAGAGCUUCAAUUAGAAAGUGAAAAGUGAAAAUGUGCAAUAUAAUGUGUAGUAACUGAUACAGCAGGCACACAGAAAUUGAGUGGCCAAGCUCGACAUAUCAUUUGCCAUCAAAUAUGAGGAAUGAAGAAGAAAUCAUGAAAUCAGAUGAAUUGCUUCAUAUGGCUUGGGCAUUUGAUGUCAAAUACUGUCAGUUAUUAAUCAAUGCAAUCUUCAAUAGCUUCCCACAACCUCAUAUUUAAUUGUGGUAAUCAGACCAAAACUGCAUUACCAAAAUUUACUACUGACAUUGUCUCACCAUAAUUCCAAUUAAAUUCUGUAUUCGGCUUCCUUUGAUGCAAUUUUCAGUUCAUUACUAAGCAAAAACAUUGAUUUACAAGUUACAAUGUUGAAAAUCAAAUCAUAAAAUGUCAGCCCACUAAAAUCCCCAAAUACUAAAUUAAACUUGGUAUCACCAUAAAUUAGCGAAAAUAAAACAAUGGUGAUUUCCCUCAAUGUUGCAAGUUGAACAAAGUGUGCAGGAAGAUUUGAAGACACAAAACACCCCAUCCAGCCAUAAGAGAACAAGCAAAAAAAGGGAAAGCCAAAUGAGAAUCAAAGAAUAAACCUAAUAUGCCAAACAAAAUAAACAUACCAGUGCUGCAGAAUUGUCAUUGCCAUUAUUCACGUGUUGGCUUUCCAUGGUUUCUCCGGAUCUCUAGCAAUCAGAAAAGCAGUUUCUAUUACCCAAUUAGGUCUAAAAAUAUAAAGAGAGUGCGUAAAUUGAUCAGUACCUGAUGCUGAUGAGGCGUAUGAGUUUGAUUUUGGUUAGAACGGGUAUUGGAAUUGGAAACUCGAGUUGUGAAGCAGCAAGCGAAGACCCUCCUCAUAUUUAUACGCACCGUUAAAAAAUUUUUCAAGUGAAGUCUAACAAAAGCGCGGGACCAACGGACCAAACAGCCAAUCAAACAUUUUCUGCAAAAAAAAAAAAAAAAAAAAACAAAGAGUUGGCUUUUUGUCUGGGUUUGUCGAAACACAAUAAAAAAAGCAAAAUUUUGUGUAAUAAUUAAUUAAUUGAUCCACUUAACCGAAAACUAUCCCCACUUACCAACAGAGCAUUUUCAUAUUAUAGAAUAAUAAAAAUUAUAUCUUCCCCAUCUCUGCAAGGCUAAGGCUGCCGAGGCUUCUCUGUGAUGUGUUGCUUUGUCUUGCAGCUUGGGGUAUUCUCAAGUGGGCUUCAAUGCUUGAAUUAGAAUUGAAGAUUUAAGGUUUGUGCAAAGCAUAACUGUCCAUUAAUAGUAUAUUACUAUUUGUGAUGUGGUUCCUUGCUUCAUAGACUUUGAUUACAAGAAAAAGUUCUCUGUCUCAAUUUCCCCAUUUCUUACUGGGUGACAGGUUGAACCAUUGGUCAUUGGUGGCUGGGAAAAAUUAGGUGAAAUGGGUUUUCAAUUAGUAUGAUGGCUUUUUGCCCAGUUACAGGAGUUUCUGCUCAUUAUAAUUGCAUUACACGAUUCUCAAUCCGAGGUAUAGAACAUAAAAGCACACGAAAGCAAUCGGAAUCAGACCUGCUGCUGACCCUUCAUCAUGAAAUUUAAUGGCCUGAAAAUCUCAAAGAAGUUGGCGUGGAAGCAGAGUAAGAACAACGAGAAAGUAAAGCGAAAAUUUAGUGCAUAUAUUUGAUGGACAAAAUACGGCAUCGCAGUACAUUUCAACGCAUCACCUAGAAAUGGCAUUUUACAAUUCUAUGCUUCCAAGAGAAGCAAAAAAUGUUUUUUUUUUUUUUUUUUAGUUGACAGUUAAAACUGAUGGAAAAGAAAAGAAAAUCAGAAGGAAAUCAAUUUACAUUUAUCAGCUCACUCCCGCUGUCCCGCUGGCCACUGGAUUCAUUUCGGGCUUAAAGGGCUUUGAGUUUUAGAGCCCAUUCUAUGUUUAAACGAACAAACAAGCCGGGCCUUAAGAGCCCAUUCUCUGGGACAAACUCAAAGCCUAGAUCAUCUGAUUGCUUUUCCUCGCUGGAGCCCAAGGUUGGUGAUUAAUUUCCUUCAGAAGAGGACCAAAAGAAGGGGAUUUAAAAAAAAACAAUUCAACGAAAUCAUACUACUGAAUGUCAAAGUUGGUUGUCAAACAACUGGAAUCAAAUCUAAAACUAUAAUUAUUAAACGAGACACCAAUCCGAGCUUGCCAAAUAAAGACCAGAAGAGUCGGAGAAAAUGAACAAACCAUUCCUAUCUAUAUUGACUGUGCAGUGCAUGCAAUUAAAGAAACACGACAUUGAUUAUUGAAUUGGAUUUUGGUAGAAUAGGAGAAGAUUCUUCUACUACUUACUCGAAGAUUUUAUUUAUUUAUUUAUUACAUCACAUCUACAGCAAUUCUAGAACACAGCGCUUGCUGAUUUGGAAACCAAAAACAGCAAUUGGGCUUCUAGAAAGUAUAAACUUUGAAAUUUAAUAUCCCCAGUGGAUCAUUUCUUGCGUGUUUCAUGAGCUCAUUAAUUACAUAAAGUCAGAAGUCUUCACGACAUGAUUAAUCUUCUUAAUUCUUUCUUUCAUAGUUACAUGUAUGUAUGCAUGUAUGUAUAUGGGUGUUUGUCUUCAAAUUUCCAUUAAUCUGUUGAAUUAUCAUUAGAUGCCGUCACGUUACGACAAUUACAUGCACUUUAAUUGGCUUUCUUUUUCUCCGGAAUAGCCUCCCUGUAAUCGUUACUUGUAAAAUCAUUAUUCCCUUAAGGACACGAUACAAGGCUUCCUCAAGGCUCAUAUUAUAAUAGGACUACAUUUAGAAGGUGAUAAUUCUUUAAUAAUAAUAAUAAUAAUAAUAAAAAGAGCAGUUGUACGUAUUCCCAGAAGAACAUGGGAAUUUUGUUUGAAUGAAGAAGCAAAGGCCGCCCAAAUAAAACAAGUCCAACGAAUUGCGUGUCAAGUAUGUCUGUUUGUGACUCAACGGUGUAAUGAAAACUAUAUUAAAGUAAUCACGGAAAAAUAAAUUUUAGCGAAAUUCCAUAGUUACCCUCAAUCGGCUGCAUUAUUAACACAGCAAGCCCGACAAUCAAACGACAUAAUUGAGUGAAACACCAGGGGUGAUACGUAAUAUCAGUGAAACAAAUUAAGACAGCGUAUGUGAAUGUGACGCAUUGAAAAGCGUCCGAGGCGUCAGGUGGGGACCAGCCUCGGUUUCGUUGGUUUCUGAAAACGGAACCAAUAAUGAAAGCCCAUAACUAACUAAACUAAAACUAAAACCACCCUUCGAAGAAAUUUCGCCGGGAUGGAUGCUUCCGCGACAUGUGAGUCAACACGUGCAUACAUGAACGUAUUUAAAGCAAAAACGACAUAACAAGUCCCGCGUUUUAUGAGUUCAAUGGAGGUCCAGGGAAGUGGUCCUGGAGGAUCGAUGAAGAACAGAGAAAGUAAAACGAGGAAGAAGAAGAAGAAUGCAAAGUCUCGGUACUUGCCGAAGCUCUCGUGUUUGCGAACCGAGCCGGAUGGAAAAGGAAAUUUUGACAUGCAGGUCCAAACUAUUGGAGACGGAAACGGAGAUGGUCCGACUCCAACUCACCUCGUUGUUAUGGUUAACGGCAUUAUUGGCAGGUUAGUUAGCUUAAUUAGCUUAACGUUAAUCACAUUGCUAAUUAAUACUCUAUCUCGUCACGAUCAUGAUUAUGAUUCAAGACUUGAUUUGAUUAGAUUUGACUUUAUUUAUUAAUAACAGUGCUCAAAAUUGGAGCUAUGCUGCCAAGCAGUUUUGCUGCAAGUAUCCUGAGGAUCUUAUAGUUCACUGUGAGUGAUUAUUGUUAAUUCUUGAACCUCUAAUAUAAAAUUUUAAUCCAGUUGCAUGUUAUUUUGAGCUUAUGUAAAAGUGUAAAGAGGCAGUGGAAUCUAGGAAGUAUACUCGAUAUUCGCUACUAGUUUUGGUUUCUUUUAUUAAGAUAAUAAAUUGCAUAGGAUCAAUUUGUAAAUGCAGGCAGUGAGCGUAAUUAUUCUACGCUGACAUUUGAUGGCGUCGAUGUCAUGGGAGAAAGGCUAGCAGAAGAGGUGUGUUUUUGUUCGUUUUCCUGAUUGUUAAUCCUUUUACCUCAAAUGUUAUUUCUUUGUUUAAAAUACAAUGGUAUUGUUUCUUUCAGGUGAUAUCAGUCAUAAAACGGCACCCAGGUGUUCAGAAGAUCUCAUUUAUUGGUCACUCUUUAGGUGGCCUUGUGGCAAGGUAUGCUAUUGCCAGGCUUUAUGAACGAGAUGUCACAGAGGAACCUCACCACGCAAGUGGAGGAUCUAGGGUUGAUGAAUCUGAAGAAGAUUCAUGCCAGAAAGAUAAUUUGAAAGGCAAAAUCGCUGGCCUAGAGCCCGUGAAUUUUAUAACCUGUGCCACGCCUCACCUUGGCUCAAGGGGUCAUGAGCAGGUGACCUUUUGUACUUUGAAUGUUCAUAUAUAAUUAAUCCUCCCUUUCAUAACUAGUUUUCUCCAAUAAAUUUGUGAUUAAGUAAUUAUAUGGACUUCAUCAUAUAUGGUUUUCUUAUGUUAUAGCUUGUUCUUCUCAGGUCCCAGUGUUUUGUGGAUUUUACACUCUAGAAAAAGUAGCAGCCCGUGGAUCCUGGUUACUCGGAAGAACCGGAAAACAUUUAUUUUUGACUGACCGUAAUGAAGGGAAACCUCCUCUUCUUCUGCGAAUGGUCAGUGAUUGUGAAGACCUUAAAUUCUUGUGAGUCUUUGUAAACUUAUCUGGUUGAUAGCUAAGUGAACCCAAUUGAUUCCUCAACUUUUAAUCAUUUUUUCAUUGUGUCUACAGAUCUGCUUUGCAGUCCUUCAGGCGCCGUGUGGUCUACGCAAAUGCACGUUUUGAUCGUAUCCUCUUACUUUUAAGUGUAUUCUUUGAAUUAUAUUCCCCCACAGGCCUCCAAUUGUUUGAGAAAGAAGCUGCGUAACAUUACUUUAAGUGAUCAGGUGGAUUUUUGGCUUCUUUGGUACUCUGAUGCAAUCUCUUCUUAACUUACCAUUUACUUAUAGAAGAACUUAACUCUCUUCUUAGACAUUGUGGGAUGGAGUACAUCAUCUCUUCGGCAUCCAAAGGAGCUUCCAAAGGUAAUUAUGAACUUUAUAUUAGAAACUCCGAUAUUAUUAUUUGUCAUUCUCAGAGAGAUUUCUUUUUUAUCAGAGACGACAUCUUAAAAGAGUUGAUAAAUACAAACAUAUUGUAAAUGUGGAGACAACAAAAGCAGCUAGUUCACAAAGAGAAGUCCGUUCAGAGAACAUAGCAAAUAAAAGUGAAACUGCUGAUGUGGAAGGUUAGUUAAUUAUUUGUUACUUGAAAUUGAUCAAAAAAAAUAUUGCUCUGUCAAUAACUCCUAUGGUUUUCUUGAUGUUCAAAUUAUUAUCUCAUGUAACACUUAUAAGCUAAAAUCUUUAGAGGGUCUAGUUAUGCCCUCGUAGGAUCCUCGAGGAAGUAAAACUGAAAAAAACUACAUUGGAAAAGUACCAUUCAUAAUUUUACAGUUUAUUCAUUAGGAAAUCUGAAAAUUCAUGCGUAAAAGAAUGAGCAUACUUAUUUGCUUGCCAUUGGAUAUGUGUUCACACAGAAAAUUGCAGUUGCCUGCAUCCAUUUUCUUAUAUGUGAGGAAAAAAUCAGUUACUAUAAUUAGCUAUAAAUGGAUCAUUAUUAUUAUUUUUAUUUUCCUGAUAAGUAUUCUUCAAACAUUCAUGGUUUUGAAAAUGAGAUAUUGUAGUUGUGUUAAAUAACUCUCUGUUUGGAUGAAUCUUGGUUAAUCAAAUUGAUCACUGGAUUACAGUUGAAUUUCUUCACGACUCUACUGAGAAAUAGUGCCCUUUAGUCUUAAACAAGGAGUGUUACAUUUUAUGUGGUAGUGGACUGUGUUUUUAGAGCUUUUUGUCCUUAGGUUUCUAUGUGUUGAUGAUGUGCUAAGGUGAGUCUUAUUAAGAUGUAUGAUGAAGAGUUUGGGCAGCCCAUUCAAAAGUUUUUGAAAUGUUUUGAAAAUAUUGAAGUGUGUCAUCUGAAAUGUGAAUCUGACAAUGCAUCAGCAGUAGGAAUUAGGAAAUCAGGGAGCAGAAUGAGAUGCAGAGAAGAUAGGUGUUGGUUUUACUUCUAUUGUUGCAGACCUUUAAUCUUUUAAUGAGUUUCAUUAAGUAAUCGUUCAUCCUUCUCUUAACUUCAGAUCGCUGGAUAUUGUUAGAGGUUUUCCGGAAUCACUCAUUCUCAUUUGACAAUUGGCUUGAAUGAUAUUUUCCCCUUGGCAUCUCAGUUAUUGCAAGUUCUACUUGAAAAUGAUGGUCAUUAACAUAAUUGUUGCCCUUUAGAUGUAAUGCUCAAUCCUCAUUUUUUAAAGCUUAAUUCCACUGUUAGGAUCUCACCUACAAGAUUAAGCUUUUGGGUCAAGAGGUAACUUAACAUGGUAUUAAAGCCAGGAUUUAUCAUGUGGUCUCCCCAUGUGAUUGCAUUUUGUCUAUGGUUCUAUCUGCUAUCCCUGUUUGGGCAGAGUCUAAUUGUAUUUGUCUUUGUUUUUAUCUUCUAUCUUAUUAUUGCUUUUGGUCAACAUGGUUUAAUACCAGCUUGAGCUUUUAGAUCAAGCAGUACCUUAACACUUAUGUCACACAAUUGUAGAGGAAAUGCUCAGAUGUUUAACGACUUUGAGCUGGGAACGGGUUGACGUUAACUUCAGUAGAAGCAGGCAAAGAUUUCUAGCACACAGUACCAUUCAGGCAAGAUUUGCAAUUCUCUUACAAUUUCACCUAGGAAAUGGAGUUUUUCUGUACACUUUUUAAUUGCAGACAAGCAUUUGGUAUCUUACCCUGUAUGAUUCUGCUUCCGCACUGAAUAAGAAGUGCAUUCUAGAAGUUUUCCUUAGAGAUGCUGGUGUAACAUUAUCUUUUCCUCUGUGUUCAGGUGAAAACCUACUGUAUCAAUUCCGAUGGAGCCGAGGUGAUCCAACAUAUGAUUGACAAUUUUCUCCUGUAAACGAGGCCUACUCUAUAGAUUCUAUGUCAAUGCUUCUCUUGUCCUAAUUGGCAUCAAGAAUGAAUUUUUUGGGUGACUCUGUGAAGCUUGGUUUAAUAUGCUGGACGGACGCUCACUGUAACGACAGUACAACAAUAUUCACCACCCCCCCCCCCCCCNNNNNNNNNNNNNNNNNNNNNNNNNNNNNNNNNNNNNNNNNNNNNNNNNNNNNNNNNNNNNNNNNNNNNNNNNNAGAAGAAGGUAUAUAUCGGAACAUAUUGAUAUAUAAUUUAUAGUACAUUUCUUCAUGUUAAUGCAACAAUAGACGGAGAUGUUAGUUCAAGUUACAUGAAACAAUAUGUCCAAACUGAGUACGUACAAUUUUGCUUAUUGAUGAAUUAAUAUUAUUAUACAUGAUAUUUCUUCUAUUGUCACCCAUAACCAAAAGAAAAAAAUAAUUUAUAAAUCGCGUUGUGUGUGUAACUUUCUCUGUGUGUGUGCGUGUGUGAGAGAUCUUUUACAAUGUGACAAAUUUUAUCUUUUAAUUGGGAAAUUCUGGAGUCCUGUAACAGUUUUUGACGUCAUAAAUAGAGGUAGGAAUCGAAGGAUUGGCAGUAAAAUUUUGUAAAUUCCAAAGUGUUGAUGAAUUUGCUGGAAGCCUGGAACAAUGACACCCGCCAUGGUCAGAUAUCAUCGCAUCUGAUUCGCACAAAGUUAUAUGAUUCUGAUGCAAAUCCAUGGAUGCAUUAGUGACAUUCCUUGUUUUAGCAUCCUUUGGAAAUAUAUAUUUAAUAAAACUCUUCCCAAGGCCGAGAAAAAGGGUUGUUAGCGUGUCGAAGUAAAUUAUGCUCAGAGCCCAAAACACGAACGUGGAGGGACAAAUUGAAAGAUUAAAUAAAAAGUGAAAGCGAAAGCAAUAGCCCGAGAACUACAUAUCAUAUUUCCCUCCUCACCUGUGAAUCCCUUAUUUUAGAGAGCUCUCCAUCAUUUGAUACGCUGUGUGAUCUCUUAUUGUUGCUGAUUUUGUGUUAUUAUUGUAUCCUUUCAGUUUUCACUACCUCUUUGGUUUUGGCUCUUAAUGUUUUGCUGUACUGUCCAUUCCUUCUUUCCUUGCUCUGCCUCAGCUGCUAAAGCAGUCUUUCGGUUUGGUUUUUCUGGUGGCUCAUGAAACGAGGUCAAUGUCAUUCCCUUUUCGUUUGAGGUCCUCCACCUCUGUAGCCCUCUCAGUUUAGCCUCAUUCUAAUAACACUUUUUGCCUUGCAUGUUCCGUGACUUCCGUCUAACCAAAGCGAGCUACAUGUACAAGGUUACCAAGUGAAAGUGAGUGGACUUGUAGAGGUGAGGUGGCGUUUAAGCUCUGAACCUUUCUUCUCUUGGGACACUUCUCAGGAAAUCGAAUACAUCAACCUCUCUCUCUCUCUCUCUCUCUCUCUCUCUCUCCAG
rnacentral:lncRNA from 1 species